AUUGAACGCUGGCGGCAUGCUUUACACAUGCAAGUCGAACGGUAACAGGCCGCAAGGUGCUGACGAGUGGCGGACGGGUGAGUAAUGCAUCGGAACGUGCCCAGUCGUGGGGGAUAACUACUCGAAAGAGUAGCUAAUACCUCAUACGAUCUAUGGAUGACAGCGGGGGACCGUAAGGCCUCGCGCGAUUGGAGCGGCCGAUGUCAGAUUAGGUAGUUGUUGGGGUAAAGGCCCACCAAGCCAACGAUCUGUAGCUGGUCUGAGAGGACGACGAGCCACACUGGGACUGAGACACGGCCAAGACUCCUACGGGAGGCCGCAGUGGGGAAUUUUGGACAAUGGGCGCAAGCCUGAUCCAGCAAUGCCGCGUGCAGGAAGAAGGCCUUCGGGUUGUAAACUGCUUUUGUACGGAACGAAACGGCUCUGGUUAAUACCCGGGGCUAAUGACGGUACCGUAAGAAUAAGCACCGGCUAACUACGUG
rnacentral:rRNA from 1 species